GAUGAACGCUGGCGGCGUGCCUAAUACAUGCAAGUCGAGCGAACGGACGAGAAGCUUGCUUCUCUGAUGUUAGCGGCGGACGGGUGAGUAACACGUGGAUAACCUACCUAUAAGACUGGGAUAACUUCGGGAAACCGUAGCUAAUACCGGAUAAUAUUUUGAACCGCAUGGUUCAAAAGUGAAAGACGGUCUUGCUGUCACUUAUAGAUUGAUCCGCGCUGCAUUAGCUAGUUGGUAAGGUAACGGCUUACCAAGGCAACGAUGCAUAGCCGACCUGAGAGGGUGAUCGGCCACACUGGAACUGAGACACGGUCCAGACUCCUACGGGAGGCAGCAGUAGGGAAUCUUCCGCAAUGGGCGAAAGCCUGACGGAGCAACGCCGCGUGAGUGAUGAAGGUCUUCGGAUCGUAAAACUCUGUUAUUAGGGAAGAACAUAUGUGUAAGUAACUGUGAACAUCUUGACGGUACCUAAUCAGAAAGCCACGGCUAACUACGUG
rnacentral:rRNA from 1 species